CACAUUUUCUCAAAAGUUCACACUUGAGCUAAAAAGGGACAAUUAGACUAGGAACAAGGAUAAAUACAGGAGAGUUACAACCUUGCUCUAUACAGAAAGUUACAAGAAACAGGAACUGCUUUGCUUCAAUCUAAUAACCAACAAUCCAACGAGGCUGCUAGAUAAAAUAGGGGCUCAUUUUAGGCUUUGCUUAGCUGGCUUCUCCCAGUAUUUUGUAGCUAGUUCCCUUGGAGACCUAGGACCCGUCUUUCGAUAUGUUCAAUUUCUUGAUCAACACCUCAACAUCAUUUCCUAAACCUGAUAUCCAUACCAAAAUUACACUGAACGAGUACAAAAUAUCACCAAGGCAUAAAAACUACAAUAAAAUGAAGAUAAAAUGCAGCACGAGAAUUUUGUAAUACCAUUUGUGUUGUCAGAUACGCGAACGUAAUCACAAGAUCAGUAUUAGCAACUAAUAUUUAGUAUUGAACAUAUUGCAGUAAGCACUAGCUAAGUGAAAACAAAGUAGUAUUCACCAUCACCAAUUGUAGUAAACAAGGGCAUAGUACCAACUAUUAUUACACUUUGACGCUAGCUUUAAAAGCGGACAUCAUAUUUACCUAUGACACGUCAAAUAGAAUUUAGUCAAAGUACCAAAACAGCACUUCACCAUGGUAAGCAAAUGAACUCUAUAUGCAGAUGCCCAUUCUAAUAAGUAAUCACAUUGCAGCAUUUCUCUUCUAAAACAAAACUAUAGUACAGCAAAUAAUACAUAAAGAACGUUUUGCAAUCAACUCUGUAUAUCAAUAUCGAAGAAGAAAUAAAAAAAGAUCACCUAAGAGAAUCUUCAUAGCAUUUUAUACAAAACAAAACUCGACCGUUAAACCUCACAAAGUAUUUAUAAUUGUGUUGAAAAAGUUUUAAAUUCCAAUCUUAAGCCACCAUAAACAUGGUCAAUGGAAAAAUAUAGCAAAAAUUCCAACUUGAAAAAUAACAAACAUUACAAAGAAAAAGCUUCAUUAUAUCCCAAACCCAGUGCCAAAAGCCAAGUUGCAUCUUUAAAAUCCUCAGUUAACUUUUGCCAUUCCUUCACAAUUUAUACUAGCAGAAGCUAAUAGAGGUUUACAAUCAUUUGAGACCUUUAAAUUUUCAAAAGGAAAAAGGUAAAUGUAUCAAAACCUGAAUCGAAUACUUAUAUAUCAAGAGAAGAAAAAUGAAAGACUAGAUCAAUAGCUCUUACCAUUAAUGGUGCACAGUGAAGCAAAAACUUCAAGAAAAGUCUACAGAUGACGAAAUAGUUAUCAAUUGGAAACACCAAAGCCAUCAUGGAAUGAUUCACUAUUUGGCGAUUGUUUUUUCCCCUAUCUUUUUCAUACAAAGAAACUUGAGUAGUGGAUUUUGGGGCGAUUUUGGGAUUUUUGUCUAUAAUCACUGGUGGGCAUUGCUUUGUGUUUGGGUUUUGAGGGGAUUUGGGCAUAUUCAGGGCGG
rnacentral:lncRNA from 1 species